CCUCCUGAGUAGCUGGGACUACAGGAGCGCGCCACCACACCUGGCUAAUUUUUUGUAUUUUUUUUUAGUAGAGACGGGGUUUCACCAUGUUGGCCAGGAUUGUCUCGAUCUGACCUCGUGAUCUGCCCGCCUUGGCCUCCCAAAGUGCUGGGAUUAUAGGUGUGAGCCACUGCACCUGGCCCCAUUUGUUAUUUCUUUAGGGCACCAUUUUUCAUCUGAUUAUUCACAGCUGAAAAACCAUAAUC
rnacentral:lncRNA from 1 species